rnacentral:miRNA from 1 species
CCUGGGAGCAGGGAACCACCAGGUUGCCUAAGGAGGGGUGAACCGGCCUAAGUCAGAAAC